GGCGGCGGCAGCGGCCCCUUCCAGCGUCUGCCGGCCAGCGGGCUUCCAGCGGGACCUGGCGGAGUCUGGCCACCUCCGUGGGCACAGUGACCGCAGCACAAGCCGCGGCCGCAGUCCUGGAAAAGCGGCAACGCCUGGCACCUGCACUGCUGCGUGUGACCAGCCGCAGAGUCGGGCGCGGUGCAGGUGGGUCCGUCUGCGUCUCUGAGCCCCGGGAGGGGCCCAGCACCCCCCCCCACCAUGCUGUCUGUGUGAAUAAAGAUUUUGCAGUGGCCCUGA